AUCUCCGACGACAUUUCGUCCCUCGCGCGCUCAAUUUCAUUCCAGCAGACAACAUAAUAUUCAUAGAAAUUUGAAUCUUUGUUCUACCUAGAAAUCAAAACCGACAACCAAACUCACCAUUGUUACCGGCAAUUUACAGGUCAAAUUGAAGAUGUCGAAUGUCACAGUUUGUGCUCAAUUUAGGCCUUUGAGUUCCAGCGAGAUCAGAGAUCACGGCUCUUGCGUCAGCAUUCAUCGCAUCGACAACAAAUCAUUCAAUUUCAAGCUAUGAAAUACUUCAUGCUCGCUGGGCUAUGCUUCGAGCUCUGGGUGCUCUGGUUCCAGAAAUAUUAGAACAGUUUAACUUUUCACUUUCCUAAACCUGUUGGAGAGUUGGUUACUCAAAACUUAA